rnacentral:rRNA from 1 species
AUACGUAGGGGGCAAGCGUUAUCCGGAUUUACUGGGUGUAAAGGGAGCGUAGGCUGUUCGGAAAGUCAGGGGUGAAAGCCCGGCGCCUAACGCCGGAACUGCCUUUGAUACUUCCGAGCUGGAAUACGGAUGCCGUGGGAGGAAUGAGUAGUGUAGCGGUGAAAUGCAUAGAUAUUACUCAGAACACCGAUUGCGAAGGCAUCUCACGAAUCCGUCAUUGACGCUGAGGCACGAAAGCGUGGGGAUCAAACAGGAUUAGAUACCCUGGUAGUCCACGCAGUAAACGAUGAUUACUAGCUGUUUGCGAUACAAUGUAAGCGGCUGAGCGAAAGCGUUAAGUAAUCCACCUGGGGAGUACGUUCGCAAGAAUGAAACUUAAAUGAAUUGACGGGG